AGCUCCCGAUCUUUUUCCCUUCCCAUCACUUUGUGAUUAGUCCCAUAAGUGUACAUUUGUUCUGUGAAGUAUUGUGCCAGCAGGGAAGGGAGAAUUGUGCCUUGGGAGCCCUAACUUUGGGCACUCCAGCAAGGCGAAGGACUUAAAGGCUCUAACGAGAGCCUCCAGCAUCAAUGGGAGGCUACCCAUUUAUCCUCCCGCAUUCGAAACCCCGCACUGAAGACAUCAACCGUCAGGACAAUGGAUUUUCAUGAAUGAUGUGGAGAUUUUCCCUCGUCGAUGAUGGGCCCCAACGUGAUCAGCACCUUGUAGGAUGUAUCGUCGCCUACGUGGGAGGCUUGUUGCCCCUUAGGGGGAAUCGUCGAGGAGAAUUCUGGAUUGGUAGCGGUCUCACAUACUACAGCUCCGCAGGAAAAGAGGCUCAAGUCCCAAAGAUCUCAAAUAGAGGUUGAGGAUGUACCCACUGGCACUGUAUUUGCCACAGCAUACAUGAGGAGAAGAUCUGUUGAGUAAAAUCUCCAAAAAAAUGAAAUAUUGCUAUCGAGAGACCACAAGGAGUACUAAGGGACAUUUCCAUCGUUUUGGACCUAGAGGCUGAAAUCAACACUAAGACGGCGAUGGAUGUAUGGAAAAAGGGUAAAAAAGACGAAAAUGAGAUGAAAAUAAAUUGAAUAUCUGACAACUUAAAGUAGAUUCGAACUUGGAACACUUGUAUCAUACAGCAGUUGCCCUUUUAAAAUGUAUUAUUGGUUUCUUCUUUAAAUUAAAUACAAAAUUUAAGAUAUUUUAAGUUAAAAAGGGGUAGUAAAACAGAUUCUUUUCAUUGUUGGUCACAAAACCAUGCAAAUUAAAAGCCUCUAUUGAUAUUUCUAUUCACAGAAGUUAAUUUAAUUAAAUGUAUCUCACAUCUAAUUAUAAAUUUUCUUUAUGCUCUUACAUUUUUCUGCACUUCAUUUUGUCACUUUGUGCUGAUUUCAUUGAUUAUUUCUGUGUCUUUUUCACAUUGAUUGUUAUCCUCGUCAAAUCGUAUGAUAUUGUACAUGGUAAACGAGUGAGACUCAAUGAUUAAUUGCAUUAAAGUCGCUCUGCAACCUCUAACCAUGGUUAAAUCUCUGCAGAGAAAGAGAUUUUGAGAGAAUUAUUGUGUGUCUAAAAUUAGAAUUAGUAGUUCAAGAGAACUUUUAUUACUUAAUUAUGGUUAUUUGCAAUUAUUGAAAAUACCUCUUUUGCAUUUAAUUGCAUUUACGCAGAUUUUUCUCUAAAAGCUGAUUCAAUUAUUUACGUUUCCCAUGAGAAUAUUACAAAAUUCUCAAUAUAUAGUUUUGAGGGCUUAUCUUUAGGUUAAUUAAUAUAAAAUA